rnacentral:lncRNA from 10 species
AAACAUUUGCAAGACGUGGCAGUGACAACAAAGGUAGCAUUAUGACCUCAGGGGUGUGUGUAAGACUUGGGGCUUGGUCUGCAGUAGGAGACAAUUAUUCUGCAAUCUUCCUGGUCCUGCCAUUAAUUUAUUUAAGUCCUGGAAGAAUACUUAAAUUGGUCUCAAGUUCCAUCAGCAAGAUGGGACGACUCCAUUGAAAAGAAACAUAAUAUAUGGAAAAAUUACUAGAAAAUCUAGGAAAACUGACUGAAUGCUUUGGAAAGACACAGUCAAGAUUAACAUGCUGAGACUCGGGAGGUGGUGAUUUGCCUAGGGACACAGAAAAAUUAAAAAAAAUGUGUCACAAGAAAGUUUACAGAACCUACUCAAACUCAAAGAGAAAUCAGAGACUAAAUUCUCAAAACUGGAAGCUCCCUACAGCAUCCACACUCUUCAGCCUUGUACUAUGUGAUGUGUAUUACGAAUGGAGCCACCGGCAGUAUUUGUAUGAACAUGAGACAAUGUGUGGCAGAUGCUUGGUGCUUUGUAAUAUUUAGUAAAAUAAAACAAUAAUAAUGUAACUAUAAUAUGUGUUGUUCUUACUUGACUAUAAGUGCUCUAAGUUCAGAGCCAGCCAAGCGCAUCUUUGUUUUCUCUAAUAGGAUCUAGAAGCAUUCUUUAUCUUAGUGACUCAACGUAUAGUUUUUGGAUGACUGUGGGAAAUCUCCCUCCCUAAUCAAAGAUUUGACUUAAAAUGUUAUUGUAAAGGUUUUAAAAAAUCUACUAUUUUGGCUGGGCGUGGUGGCUCAUGCCUGCAAUCCCAGCACUUUGGGAGGCCGAGGCGGGUAGAUCACAAGGUCAGGAGUUCAAGACCAGCCUGGCCAGAAUGGUGAAACCCCAUCUCUACUAAAAAUACAAAAAUUAACCAGGCAUGGUGGCGGGCAACUGUAAUCACAGCUACUCGGGAGGAUGAGGCAGAGAAUUGCUUGAACCCAGGAGGAGGAGGUUGCAGUGAGCUGAGAUCACGUCAUUGUACUCCAGCCUGGGUGAUAGAGUGAGAAUCUGUCUCAAAAAAAAAAAAAAAAAAAAAAAAAAAAAGAGAAAUCUACUAUUUGAAACCUAAGCUACUUAAAAAAUUGUACUUAAUAAAGGAAUUCUUUUCUAGGCUUUUCAAAAAUCAAUUUUAUUGGGGAAUAAUUUGCAUACAAUAACAUGCUCCUAUUUUGAAUUUAUCAUCUUUUCGUAAGUUUAUGUAUCCACAUUAACUACUGUCACAAUCAAAAUAAAGAAUGUUUCUAACACCUCACAAUGUCUCUCUUGCCCAUUGUCAGUCAAUCCUGAUCCAAAUCCUCAAACAAACACUGAAUUGCGUUCUCUCACUCUAGAGUACAUUUGCGUCUUUUAAGGGCCUCAUGUAAAUCAAAUCAUAGAGAAUGUACUCUUUUUAGCCAAGCUUAUUUCACUCAACUUAAUGUCUCUGAGAUCCUUUUAUGUUCUUGUGUGUAUCAGUAGUUCAUUCUUUUUACAUUGCUCAGCAAUGUUCCACUGUAUGCAUAUACUAAGAUGUGUUAAUCCACUCAUCUUUCAUGGGCAUUUGAGUUGUUUCCAGUUAUUGACUAAUAAAGAACAUU